GGGGUCGACUGGUUUUGACAGCAGGUUGUAUUAAACGGUAAGCACGUCGCGUGAUGAAAUUGAGACGCGUUAAAGGCCAUUUCAACUUUUUAAACGGCGAGAAUAACUACGCUUUAGCUGCAUAAUCUGAAUUAUAGUAAGAUUAGCCUUUGUCCUACCAGGUAGGAAAGCUGAAUGUCUCUUGAAAGCCUUGGUUAACGGCGGUCAGUUUUGAGGCAUCGUAAAAGUAAACCUAGACCUUUUAAUGCUUUGGUAAGGGGUCGAAAUUUAAGAAGAUAAGUUUUAAGUAGGCCGUUUUUAGUCAGCUUAAGAUCGAAAACCAAAUAAAAACUAAACGUGUAGAAGGCUCUUUGGUAGCUUGUUUGGACGAGAGUUCGAUUCUCUCCGACUCCACUU
rnacentral:tmRNA from 1 species